rnacentral:rRNA from 1 species
GAUGAACGCUGGCGGCGUGCCUAAUACAUGCAAGUCGAGCGAACAGACGAGGAGCUUGCUCCUCUGACGUUAGCGGCGGACGGGUGAGUAACACGUGGAUAACCUACCUAUAAGACUGGGAUAACUUCGGGAAACCGGAGCUAAUACCGGAUAAUAUAUUGAACCGCAUGGUUCAAUAGUGAAAGACGGUUUUGCUGUCACUUAUAGAUGGAUCCGCGCCGCAUUAGCUAGUUGGUAAGGUAACGGCUUACCAAGGCAACGAUGCGUAGCCGACCUGAGAGGGUGAUCGGCUACACUGGAACUGAGACACGGUACAGACUCCGACGGGAGGCAGCAGUAGGGAAUCUUCCGCGAUGGGCGAAAGCCUGACGGAGCAACGCCGCGUGAGUGAUGAAGGUCUUCGGAUCGUAAAGCUCUGUUAUUAGGGAAGAACAAAUGUGUAAGUAACUAUGCACGUCUUGACGGUACCUAAUCAGAAAGCCACGGCUAACUACGUG